AACAAGGCGUACCUGCGGACCUGCGGAAGGAUCAUUACAGAGUUCGUGCCCUCGCGGGUAGAUCUCCCACCCUUGUGUAUUUUCUACAUUUUGUUGCUUUGGCAGGCCGUUGGUUCGCCAACCACCGGCUCGCGGGCUGGUGCGUGCCUGCCAGAGGACCUCUCAAACUCGGUUUGUUAGUGUCGUCUGAGUACCAUAACAAUCGUUAAAACUUUCAACAAUGGAUCUCAGAUCGGAAGA
rnacentral:misc_RNA from 1 species